GCAUAUGACCAUUCAAUGUCACCAGGCUCGGCCAAAGUUCAGGAAAAGCACGGGAAAUGAAGGGGAAAAUUAACAAAGCCAUCGAGAGCCACGUUUCUCUUUUAUCCAACAUCUCAAUGAUCAGACUACUUACUUAUUUCUUCUACUGUCUGUGAGGAUCCAACAAAUAUGCCCUAUUCCCCAGGCUACUGUUAACUGGAACAGAUUGGUGCUUAUGACAGAUCUGAGCUUUGGUCCCUGCCUCUUCUUGUCAGUAAUACCCCAUCUACUCCACCUUCUGCUUCUCAUCUGCCAUGACUUGAUGGUAACUGGGCAACACCUAGGAAACAUGGAUUGUCCCCAGUAGAAAUGCUGUUUAACAGGAAACUCAAAACCAGGCUGCCAAACUGUUGGAUGAUACUCAUCAGAAUGAAAAGCAAAACAUGAAACCAUUUAAAAAAACUGACAAACUCAAACAAAAAUGGUAGUAUGACAGGGAUUCCAGGGAGUUACCACAACUGCACAGCAAAGAUAUGGUGCUGAUUUCAGAUGGACAAAUGUGGAAACAAAAAGUACUAGUUUCCCAUCAAGUAGCUCCCAGAUCCUAGAAAGCAGUCACACCAGAAGGAUAGGUGUUAAGGAACACCCGGCACUUGCAACUCGCAAAGGGGAGAAAAGAAGCAGCAUCAUGAGAUUCACCAAAGGAAACAGAGCUAACAACAAACCAACAAGAAAUGACAGAAGAGAUUGAAAAUGACACAGAAGUAGAGACAUCUUGAACAAGGAAACCAAACAAGAACUGAAACAAUAAGGACUGAGAAUGCAGAGAAACUGAGAAGAUCAUUUAAAGCUAAAAAGCCAACACAAAGAAUAAUAGAGACCUGUUAAAAUGUGCUUCAGCAAUGGGUUAAAUGAAACUUUCAAUGUUAAUAUUACAUAGGAUGUGUUACAGGUAAAGGGGGAAGAUGUGUGAAUACCUUUAAGAGUGUUAGGUAUAAGUUGUUACAUUGUCCAGGGAAAAGGGGAGAGCACAGCAGAUCAGCAGGCUAAGAGGGAUCUCUGAAUAAAAACAAGCUUUAUUCUUUUGUAAGCUCA